AACAGGGCAUCAUAGAGGGUGAGAAUCCCGUCUUUGGCUUGAGCAUUUGCCUUUUGUGAUACGCUUUCAAAGAGUCAGGUUGUUUGGGAAUGCAGCCUAAAUUGGGUGGUAAAUCUCACCUAAAGCUAAAUAUUGGCGAGAAACCGAUAGCGAACAAGUACCGUGAGGGAAAGAUGAAAAGAACUUUGAAAAGAGAGUUAAACAGUAUGUGAAAUUGUUAAAAGGGAACCGUUUGGAGCCAGACUGGCUUGUCUGUAAUCAAUCUAGGCUUCGGCCUGGAUGCACUUGCAGGCUAUGCCUGCCAACGACAAUUUGACUUGAGGGAAAAAACUAGGGGAAAUGUGGCCCACUUGUGGGUGUUAUAGUCCCUUAGAAAAUACCUUGGGUUGGAUUGAGGAACGCAGCGAAUGCUUAUUGGCGAGUUUUCCAGGAAGGUUUUCUGAGGUACUACGGUAUCAAGGUUGAUCUUUUUGGUUAUACUUCUAUUCGCUUAGGUUGUUGGCUUAAUGACUCUAAAUGACCCGUCUUGAAACACGGACCAAGGAGUCCACCAUUAGUGCGAGUAUUUGGGUGCCAAACCCAUAUGCGUAAGGAAACUGAUUGAUACGAAUCCAUUAAGGAGGCA
rnacentral:rRNA from 1 species